AAGCCACACCUUGUGACACUGAGGUAAGAGCAGAACGUUGCAGAGUGUGCAGGCUGGAGUGUGUGCUAAGGCUCUGUGUGCUGAUUACUCCUUGUGUGUCUCAUUGCUUACAGGAUUUUUUUUUUUGAGACAGGGUCUCACUGUGUCACCCAGGCUGGAGUGCAGUGGUGUGAACAUAGCUCACUGCAGCCUCGGACUCCUGACCUCAAGCAAUCCUCCCGCCUUAGCCUUCCAGGUGCUUGAGAUGAGAAACAGACUUUUUUUCCUUUGAGAAUUCAUUAUUUCUCCCCUUGGGCUGUUUGUUCAAACCCACACAGGAGCAGGAACAUUGCUUUCGAUUGCCAAAGAAAUGACAUAAUGAUGCCAAUGAUUAAAAUGUCAAGAACACAGUGUCUUGGGCUGAGAUGGUAAAGGCAGCAUUCAGGCAGUGAUGAUCUGGGGUGAUAGGAGUGGCUGUGGGGAGACGGAGGCCUCCCUUCUUGUAGGAUGGGACUCGGUCUUUCCUCUGCCUCAUUGCUAUUAUUGUCUUGUUUUAUUUUUGCUUUUGUUUGUUUGGGUAGGUGAAAAGGCAGGUCGGGUGAAGAAGAGCAGGAUGUUUCAUUUUUAUCAAGCAUCACCUGAUUCAAAAUGUAGCCACUGAAAAGAAGCCAUCGUUUUUGGCCUGCGUCUCUGAGGAUAAGAUAGUGCGUGGGUGAUGGAUGCAGCCCAGGUGGGAGCUGUCUGCAAAUAACCCAGCUGCUUCCUGUGGCCCUGGUCAUCCUGCUGCCCUCAGCUUCUCCCACGGAGGCCACCUGCCCCCCUAACACUGAGCUGCUCACCUAGUCCAGCCACCAGCGACGGCCCCUGGCCUUUGACGUGUCUGUUCUCUCCUCUCUCACUCCACCACCACUAGCUUCCAGGGAUCUCCAGCCUGUAUAGAAACUUCUCACUACGCUCUGCUCUCGCCCUUUUAGCAGUCUCCUUAUGCUGCUGACUCCACCUCCCAGGCAAAUCAUUCUAAUUUAAUUCUUUACAAGUAUUCUCCCUCCUGGAGUGCUGGGCUCCACCACGGGGGCAAUCAAGGCACAUCACCCACAGCUUUCCAGACACCCACAGCCUUCCUGUCCUGCUGUGAGCGUGGCUCCUUCAGCCUUCUUCCUUCUUCGCCUGUGGGGAGUCAGACAUUCGCCAACCUCGUGCUCAAUCCCUGCCUCUGUCCAGGCCUGCUAAGCCCAUAAGACAUAUCUGCAUGUGUCAGAAUAUGUGCAAGCUUUCGACAGGAUCCCCGUUUCUCCCCAUGGAGCUUUUGGCAAAUGAAGGGUGUGGUUCAGCAGCUGGUCUGAUGUCCCUUAAGCUCCCCCACACCAGCACACCAGGACUGUCUCUGUCUCCACAUUCCAGCAUAUCUGGGUCUCAGCUUUGACACAAUCAGACACUGUUGCUGAAGUUUUUAUGUUUAUAUGACAGAAGAAACUGUCACCCCUCCCCUGCCCCCCGCCCCCACCCACCUGUUAUAAGAAAGAGCUCCAAGGUCUUGAGACCACACGCAGGGGAUGGGAAAGCUGACAUUAAAGGGGAAUGAGGUCUUUCUGUGAUUCCAGCAGCCUCAGGAGGACAACGUCAGAAACCAAAAGCUCCUCUGCCCAGGGAUGGGGACCCGCCGACUUCAAGGGCAGAACAGGUGCCUGGCUAGUGGGGGAGUUCCCCAAUGUGGAUUUAAACUGUAGUGUCUUCAGAGAACAUAACCAACAUUUGUCUUUAGGAGAUGUGUUUGUUUGAGUAGAUCAGCUAUGAAAAUACCCAGCCGGCCUGCAGCCCUCCCGGCAGAUGCUGAAAAGGAAACCCGACUGGGAGAUGCCGCCCACCCUUAUCCCCAGAGAGCUGCGUUGUUUCCUCUUGCCUUGGCCUUUGGAUCCGGCCAUAGCAAGCAUCCCUGGGCACCUGGCUGAAGCUGGAAACUCGGGAUAAGAAUGGAAGCCCUGGAAGGGAAGAAGAACCGAGGAGUGAGCUUGCCCUGAGGACAGCACAUUGCACUCUCACCUCCUUUGCAGUUAAGUGUGAAAUAGUGCCAAUAGAGUGUAAAAGAAAAGAAAGAAGAUGAUUCACCUCCCAAAGAUUCCCCACUGCUGUGUCCCUUCUAUCAACUUGAUACAAAAAAACACAAUGGCCCCGGGAACCACGUGUUGAAGAUGAGAGAGCUAAAAGAUGGAAAGAGACUGGAGCCCUGAGUCACCACCUGGAGGAAAACUACCCACCCAUCAGGAAUUUCUACUACACAUUUGGGAGUUUUUGGGGUUACAGCAGCUAAUUUAACGAAAACACCCAGAGACAAGAGCUAUUACUGCACAAAUUGGUUAAGUUACCUUUUUGUAUGUUUGGGUCCUCUCUAUUCGAUGAGACUGCGCGUUCCUUUGAAGCAAAUCUGUUUAAAAUUCUUAUAUCCCCAGAGGGCCUAGCAGAGAGUAUGCACAGAGUGAGCCUUCAGUAAAUGCUGAGUAAAUAAGCUCCUAAUGGAUGAAACUGUGUCUUCGAAGUUUGUUCUGACCAGUACUUAGUAUAGGAUUUUGUGCUGUUGGUCACUUUUCAUAAAGGUUCUUGCUAUUAAGGAACUUGACAUCCAAUGUACUCAUAGAAAGUAGAAAUUCAGGGGAAACAAAUAGAAGAGAUAUGUCCAAAAAUCCAUUUAAAAUUUCAUUGACAGAUAUUUAUCUCUUUAAUCCUGGAAGUUGUUUCAUGUAAGGGAAGGUUCAGUAGAAUGAAAACAGGACUGUAAGCUGGGAGGAGAUUUGGGGUCUCUUGGCCAACUCUGCCACAAAUUGUGUUACCUUCAACUUCCCUGCCUGUAAAAUGAAGUCAGUGGUCCCUAAAAUGAAAUUGGACUAAUGGCAAAUUAGCUAGCAUUUGAUUAUACAUCGAUAGUUUCCCCAUGUGAUUUUAACGCACAAAUCAGAUUUUGGAACCAUUAGGUAGGUGAUCUUAUCUUAUGAGUUUAUCUUUUUCAACAUGGAAAAAUAAAUUUGUUUUGCUGACCGAAGGCUGUGUAACUUAGAACUGGAAAGAGACAUGUAAUUGAAUAACCCAUCUCUAUGGGGCAAAAAAAUGAAACACCUUUAGUUUGUUCAAAGAUGAAAUGGAAAAAUAAACAUGUUUUAAGAUGA
rnacentral:lncRNA from 1 species